rnacentral:rRNA from 1 species
CACGUAGGGGGCGAGCGUUGUCCGGAUUUAUUGGGCGUAAAGCGUGCGCAGGCGGUUAUUUAAGUCAGGUGUGAAAGCCCUGGGCUUAACCUAGGAAUUGCGCUUGAGACUGGAUAGCUUGGAGUGCGGCAGAGGGAGGUGGGAUUCCACGUGUAGCAGUGAAAUGCGUAGAGAUGUGGAGGAACACCGAUGGCGAAGGCAGCCUCCUGGGCCAGCACUGACGCUCAUGCACGAAAGCGUGGGGAGCAAACAGG